rnacentral:snRNA from 1 species
CACACACUAUAACUGGAACAGCAAAGAGAAGAUGAACACAGCCCAUAUACAAGGAUGUUUCACACAUUUGUGAAUCAUUCUAUAUUUGU